rnacentral:sRNA from 1 species
UAUAUUGAUUUCCUGAACACUAUAAAACACUAUGAAAUAUCUCUCUCUCUCUCUCUCUCUCUCUCUCUCUCUCUCUCUCUCUCUCUCUAAAGUACAACUGUUUUAGCAUUUGAAUAAGAACUAAUACAAGUAACAUGCAGUAAAUUGUAUAGAGGCUAAAUGUACAUUGCGUACAAAAAUUAUACAUGUAUUUAUUUUAAGUUACGGGAUAAUGUCUAUGGAUUCAAAUAAUUUGAAAUUCAUUGUUUAAUGAUUGUCUUCUUACUGAUUGGAAGUCAACUUUAAAAAGUCAUUUUUAUUACAGAUGGUGUACUUUUUUCUUUUCUUUUUUGUGCAUGUCUAACUGAUACAAAUCUGUUGCCUGUCUGGAAUUAAGAAAAACCUCCGAAGUUUAUACACGUAACUAUACAAACGAACGGGUGACUGCGACAAAGUUUGAAAAUUGACCACCCGUUUAUGAGUGUUUGAGCCUAAGAAUAAACAGAUGUAAAAAAAAAAUCAAUAGCUACAUCUUUCAAACCUCGGACCACAUUCUUAUCGUCUGUUAAAUAUGCAGCGGAUUGAAGAAUUAAGACGAAAUUCCUGAGAUUAAACGACGCUUAUUCCCUAUACAUGGAAAUUAAAUUUACACAGUACACGCACCGACCCUCCCCCCCCCCCUCCUUCCUAUUCACAAAAUCAUUUAGUUUUACUGGCCUGAUUUUACAGGAUCUUUCAUCUUGAACCUUUAUUUUCAACCUAGUUCAAUUCUAGAUUACUGUUCUAAUGACCAGACAUAUUCGUUCAUUUUUAAAAGAGUUAUGAUUUUUUGGCAUUUGAGUUUCGAUUGGCGUGCUUGACAUGUACUGUAGAAAAAAAUUCUAACUCCCGAGCCCCUUACUCAAUCCUAAUGAAAUUUUGUGUAAAUGUAUCUCGGACCCCAUUCUUAUUGUCUGCCAAAUAUGCAGCGGAUUGAACAAUUAAGAAGAAAUUCCUGAGACCAAACGGCGAGUAUAGCCUGUACGGGGACUUAAAAUUUACAUAGUACAUGGGAUGUAAGCAGCCGCGUGAUAUUUCUGUUGCAUGUAUAUUUCUUGUUUUCCAUUUUGUCUGUAUCUACGAUAGCGUGUUAACUACCUAUGAAUGUUAGAACUGUGGAAAUUACUGUCAUCAAAUUUUUACCGAAUAAAUUUACGUGUUACU